rnacentral:rRNA from 1 species
GACGAACGCUGGCGGCGUGCUUAACACAUGCAAGUCGAACGGUGAAGCGCCUUCCUUUUUGGUGGGUGUGGAUGAGUGGCGAACGGGUGAGCAACACGUGAGUAACCUGCCCCCUUCUUCUGGAUAACCGCAUGAAAGUGUGGCUAAUACGGGAUAUUCUGGGUCUGUCGCAUGAUGGGUCUGGGAAAGAUAUUGUUUCGGUGGGGGAUGGGCUCGCGGCCUAUCAGCUUGUUGGUGGGGUGAUGGCCUACCAAGGCGGUGACGGGUAGCCGGCCUGAGAGGGUGGACGGUCACACUGGGACUGAGACACGGCCCAGACUCCUACGGGAGGCAGCAGUGGGGAAUAUUGCACAAUGGGCGCAAGCCUGAUGCAGCGACGCCGCGUGAGGGAUGGAGGCCUUCGGGUUGUGAACCUCUUUCGCCAGUGAAGCAGGCCUGCCUCGUUUGUGGGUGGGUUGACGGUAGCUGGAUAAGAAGCGCCGGCUAACUACGUG